rnacentral:rRNA from 1 species
GGCUCAGGACGAACGCNGGCGGUGUGCUUAACACAUGCAAGUGGAGCGACGAACCAGGGCUUGCCCUGGGGCAGAGCCGCGAACGGGUGAGUAACACGUGGGUAACCUACCCCGAUGACCGGGACAACCCGAGGAAACUCGGGCUAAUACCGGAUGUGUCCGACAUUCACGAGAACGUCGUGCAAAGGAAGCUUCGGCCUCCGCAUCGGGAGGGGCCCGCGGCCCAUUAGCUUGUUGGUGGGGUAACGGCCUACCAAGGCUGCGAUGGGUAGCUGGUCUGAGAGGACGAUCAGCCACACUGGGACUGAGACACGGCCCAGACUCCUACGGGAGGCAGCAGUGGGGAAUCUUGCGCAAUGCGCGAAAGCGUGACGCAGCAACACCGCGUGAGGGAAGACGGCCUUCGGGUUGUAAACCUCUUUCAGGAGGGACGAAGGCCGGCCGGUUAAUAGCCGUGCCGGCUGACGGUACCUCCAGAAGAAGCUCCGGCUAACUACGUGCCAGCAGCCGCGGUAAUACGUAGGGAGCAAGCGUUGUCCGGAAUCAUUGGGCGUAAAGCGCGCGUAGGCGGCCCGAUAAGUCCGCUGUAAAAGUCAACGGCUCAACUGUUGAAAGCCGGUGGAUACUGUCGGGCUAGAGUACGGAAGAGGCAAGUGGAAUUCCUGGUGUAGCGGUGGAAUGCGCAGAUAUCAGGAGGAACACCUAUAGCGAAGGCAGCUUGCUGGGACGUUACUGACGCUAAGGCGCGAAAGCGUGGGGAGCGAACAGGAUUAGAUACCCUGGUAGUCCACGCCGUAAACGAUGAGAACUAGGUGUGGGAGGUGUCGACUCCUCCCGUGCCGUCGCUAACGCAUUAAGUUCUCCGCCUGGGGAGUACGGCCGCAAGGCUAAAACUCAAAG